GACGAACGCUGGCGGCGUGCUUAACACAUGCAAGUCGAACGGUAAGGCCCUUCGGGGUACACGAGUGGCGAACGGGUGAGUAACACGUGGGUGAUCUGCCCUGCACUUCGGGAUAAGCCUGGGAAACUGGGUCUAAUACCGGAUAGGGCCACUGCCUGCAUGGGUGGUGGUGGAAAGCUUUUGCGGUGUGGGAUGGGCCCGCGGCCUAUCAGCUUGUUGGUGGGGUGCUGGCCUACCAAGGCGACGACGGGUAGCCGGCCUGAGAGGGUGACCGGCCACACUGGGACUGAGAUACGGCCCAGACUCCUACGGGAGGCAGCAGUGGGGAAUAUUGCACAAUGGGCGCAAGCCUGAUGCAGCGACGCCGCGUGAGGGAUGACGGCCUUCGGGUUGUAAACCUCUUUCAGCACCGACGAAGCGCAAGUGACGGUAGGUGCAGAAGAAGGACCGGCCAACUACGUGCCAGCCGCCGCAGUAA
rnacentral:rRNA from 1 species